AGGGCGGGACACGUGGUAUCCUGUCUGAAUAUGGGGGGACCAUCCUCCAAGGCUAAAUACUCCUGACUGACCGAUAGUGAACCAGUACCGUGAGGGAAAGGCGAAAAGAACCCCGGCGAGGGGAGUGAAAAAGAACCUGAAACCGUGUACGUACAAGCAGUGGGAGCACGCUUAGGCGUGUGACUGCGUACCUUUUGUAUAAUGGGUCAGCGACUUAUAUUCUGUAGCAAGGUUAACCGAAUAGGGGAGCCGAAGGGAAACCGAGUCUUAACUGGGCGUUAAGUUGCAGGGUAUAGACCCGAAACCCGGUGAUCUAGCCAUGGGCAGGUUGAAGGUUGGGUAACACUAACUGGAGGACCGAACCGACUAAUGUUGAAAAAUUAGCGGAUGACUUGUGGCUGGGGGUGAAAGGCCAAUCAAACCGGGAGAUAGCUGGUUCUCCCCGAAAGCUAUUUAGGUAGCGCCUCGUGAAUUCAUCUCCGGGGGUAGAGCACUGUUUCGGCAAGGGGGUCAUCCCGACUUACCAACCCGAUGCAAACUGCGAAUACCGGAGAAUGUUAUCACGGGAGACACACGGCGGGUGCUAACGUCCGUCGUGAAGAGGGAAACAACCCAGACCGCCAGCUAAGGUCCCAAAGUCAUGGUUAAGUGGGAAACGAUGUGGGAAGGCCCAGACAGCCAGGAUGUUGGCUUAGAAGCAGCCAUCAUUUAAAGAAAGCGUAAUAGCUCACUGGUCGAGUCGGCCUGCGCGGAAGAUGUAACGGGGCUAAACCAUGCACCGAAGCUGCGGCAGCGACGCUUAUGCGUUGUUGGGUAGGGGAGCGUUCUGUAAGCCUGCGAAGGUGUGCUGUGAGGCAUGCUGGAGGUAUCAGAAGUGCGAAUGCUGACAUAAGUAACGAUAAAGCGGGUGAAAAGCCCGCUCGCCGGAAGACCAAGGGUUCCUGUCCAACGUUAAUCGGGGCAGGGUGAGUCGACCCCUAAGGCGAGGCCGAAAGGCGUAGUCGAUGGGAAACAGGUUAAUAUUCCUGUACUUGGUGUUACUGCGAAGGGGGGACGGAGAAGGCUAUGUUGGCCGGGCGACGGUUGUCCCGGUUUAAGCGUGUAGGCUGGUUUUCCAGGCAAAUCCGGAAAAUCAAGGCUGAGGCGUGAUGACGAGGCACUACGGUGCUGAAGCAACAAAUGCCCUGCUUCCAGGAAAAGCCUCUAAGCAUCAGGUAACAUCAAAUCGUACCCCAAACCGACACAGGUGGUCAGGUAGAGAAUACCAAGGCGCUUGAGAGAACUCGGGUGAAGGAACUAGGCAAAAUGGUGCCGUAACUUCGGGAGAAGGCACGCUGAUAUGUAGGUGAAGUCCCUCGCGGAUGGAGCUGAAAUCAGUCGAAGAUACCAGCUGGCUGCAACUGUUUAUUAAAAACACAGCACUGUGCAAACACGAAAGUGGACGUAUACGGUGUGACGCCUGCCCGGUGCCGGA
rnacentral:rRNA from 1 species